rnacentral:rRNA from 1 species
UGAGCAAUCUGCCCUUCUCUUUGGAAUAAGCGUUGGAAACGACGUCUAAUGCCGAAUACGACCUCCUUUCGCAUGAUCGGAGGUGGAAAGCUCCGGCGGAGAAGGAUGAGCUCGCGGCCUAUCAGCUAGUUGGUGUGGGUAAUGGCCCACCAAGGCGACGACGGGUAGCCCGGCCUGGAGAGGGUGACCCGGCCACACGUGGGACUGAGACACGGCCCAGACUCCGUACGGGGAGGCAG